GCAUGGACGAAUUCUGUUCCAGCUGUUCUGUGUUGGCUACAGUCAGACACCAUGCAAAAGUAUUUCUGAUUUCUGCCUAAUAACUGGGUGAGUGCUUCUCGGCCUCAUCCAGCUGUGCAGGAAACGGUACAAUU